CAGUCGCCACGGUAAUACGAAGGGUGCAAGCGUUAAUCGGAAUUACUGGGCGUAAAGCGUGCGUAGGCGGUUUGUUAAGUCUGCUGUGAAAUCCCCGGGCUCAACCUGGGAAUGGCAGUGGAUACUGGCAAGCUAGAGUGUGUCAGAGGAUGAUGGAAUUCCCGGUGUAGCGGUGAAAUGCGUAGAGAUCGGGAGGAACAUCAGUGGCGAAGGCGGCCAUCUGGGACAACACUGACGCUGAGGCACGAAAGCGUGGGGAGCAAACAGGAUUAGAUACCCGCGUAGUCCCUGUCUCUUAUAC
rnacentral:rRNA from 1 species